CGCUCAGGAUGAACGCUGGGCGGCGUGCUUAACACAUGCAAGUCGAACGGUGAAGCCAAGCUUGCUUGGUGGAUCAGUGGCGAACGGGUGAGUAACACGUGAGCAACCUGCCCUGGACUCUGGGAUAAGCGCUGGAAACGGCGUCUAAUACUGGAUAUGAGACGUGAUCGCAUGGUCGUGUUUGGAAAGAUUUUUCGGUCUGGGAUGGGCUCGCGGCCUAUCAGCUUGUUGGUGAGGUAAUGGCUCACCAAGGCGUCGACGGGUAGCCGGCCUGAGAGGGUGACCGGCCACACUGGGACUGAGACACGGCCCAGACUCCUACGGGAGGCAGCAGUGGGGAAUAUUGCACAAUGGGCGGAAGCCUGAUGCAGCAACGCCGCGUGAGGGAUGACGGCCUUCGGGUUGUAAACCUCUUUUAGCAGGGAAGAAGCGAAAGUGAC
rnacentral:rRNA from 1 species